rnacentral:rRNA from 1 species
AAAGCGUGCGCAGGCGGUUUUGUAAGUCUGUCGUGAAAGCCCCGGGCUUAACCUGGGAAUUGCGAUGGAGACUGCAAGGCUUGAAUCUGGCAGAGGGGGGUAGAAUUCCACGUGUAGCAGUGAAAUGCGUAGAGAUGUGGAGGAACACCGAUGGCGAAGGCAGCCCCCUGGGUCAAGAUUGACGCUCAUGCACGAAAGCGUGGGGAGCAAACAGGAUUAGAUACCCCUGU